rnacentral:rRNA from 1 species
CCUACGGGUGGCAGCAGUGGGGGAUAUUGCACAAUGGGGGAAACCCUGAUGCAGCGACGCCGCGUGAGUGAUGACGUAUUUCGGUAUGUUAAGCUCUAUCAGCAGGGAAGAAAAUGACAGUACCUGACCAAGAAGCCACGGCUAACUACGUGCCAGCAGCCGCGGUAAUACGGAGGGGGCAAGAGUUAUACGGAUUUACUGGGUGUAAAGGGGGCGUAGGCGGUUAGGUAAGUCUGGAGUGAAAGCCCGGGGCCCAACCCCGGGACUGCUUUGGAAACUGUGGAACUGGAGGACAGGUGGGGCAGGCGGAAUGCCUGGUGUAGCGGUGAAAUGCGUAGAGAUCAGGAGGAACACCGGCGGCGAAGGCGGCCUGCUGAACUGAAACUGACGUUGAGGCUCGAAAGCGUGGGUAGCAAACAGGAUUAGAUACCCGAGUAGUC